rnacentral:lncRNA from 1 species
AUGUUAGCCGCUUCUGCCUUUAAUUUCAUUUUUCUUCUUUCAUGGUUGUUCUUUCCCCUCCGUUCGGUCGAAGGCUCUACCAAGCUGCUCCUUCCUUCGUCCACCCCUCCAUCUGGCGUUGACUUCCGCAGCUCACCCAGCAACAACGAUCGACCAUGUUUCUCUGUUCUUUCUCUCUCUCUCACUGUCGUUACCAGUUGCCUCACGUCCGAAGCCGUCCCUUGAGACCAGCAGCUUCUUCAAUGGCCCAUCUACUCCAGUGAACAUGUCUCGACCAGCCCCUUCGCCGAUCACCUGCCCCGCGUCAUCCGCCAACAGCCGCUGGGACCAACUCAGCUUCCUCAAGCAAAAUCAGAACCGAACAAAGCAGAAUUCCAGCCAAGCUGCGAAGCUUUGCGAGCCGAUUUCGGCCCCGGUUUGACCCCGGUUGUUGCAACCGCUUUGAAGAGAACCGAGCUUUGUCGCGUGCUCAUCGAUUUGAUUCAAGCAAAUCUUCAAUCAAGUGAGUUUUGCUCACUAACGCCUUCUUAGUUUGCUAAUUAUACUUAAAGGUUGAUUAGAUUUAAUUAAUUGCAAUUAGGUGGAUAGAUUAAAUUAAAGUAAUUAAAUUAAAGACUCAUUGAUGCAUGUUAAUUAAAUUGAUGGUGCAUUUAACUAGUAAACAUGUCUUAGUAUUUAUUGGAUGCUUCUUGGGAUUUUUCCCAACCCUUAUCGGGUGUUAAUUAGGCAAUUUGGGCCUAAGUGGAAUUUUUAGUAAUUAUUUAUUUAUUUAUUUAUUUUUCGGAAAUUAAGGCUAAGAUAGCCAGCGACCGAAAUUUCAUGUUGAUUGUCGUGGCGCAGUCCGUUUAUUUAAUUGAGUUCUACGUUGUGCUGAAUUAAUUUAAUUCUUGAUUUUUAGGGAUUAUUCCUAAAUCGAAUGAAUUUGAGUAAUUGACUGGUGAAUAAUUGAGAAUCGGUUGCCAAUGAUAAAGGUAUUGUGGUAGACUACCGAUCAUACUGGAAAUUGUGGAAAUGAAAGUGAGUAUGUAAGAUGUAUGCUGACCCGAUGACUAGGCAUGUCAUCUAGGAAUUUGGUCAUGUGUAUAGUGGAUCUAUGAUAGGUUCUAUAUCACCUUGGAGAAGGCACGUGCACUUGGUGAGCUGGUCUAUCACCUGGGAGAACGCACGUGGGCUCGGUGAUUAAGUGUGGCAUCUGGAAAGAGACACGUGGGCUCGGUAAUUUGAUGCAUUACCUCGGAGAAUGCACGUGGUCUCAAUGAGUACAUUUGGCAUCUUGAAAAGACACGUGGGCUUAGUGACUUGAUGCAUCGCCUUGGAGAAUGCACGUGAGCUCGCUGAUUCAGAAU